UUUUCAAGCAGGGUACCGGAGGAUAACGCACUGGGCCAGUGUCUAUCUGAACACCCAGCUCGUUGAGAAGCGGCUUUCACUUCAAGUGUCCGGUAAAGAGACAUUUCAGGUCUCGAUGCCAUCCGGUUCCUAUAGCGAAGACACACCGCUCAGCUCGAGCUAAAAAAACAAGACAAGAUGACCGGUAUCCACGUGGAGGGACUUGCGGCGAUCGCCCUCUUCUACGUUCUGAUCCUGGCGGUGGGGAUCUGGGCAGCGUGGAAGAACAAGCACGCCGGGGAGGCGGAGGGCACGGACCGCAGUGAAACCAUCAUGGUCGGUGGCAGAGACAUUGGUUUAUUUGUUGGUGGUUUUACCAUGACCGCGACCUGGGUUGGUGGUGGAUACAUUAACGGAACAGCGGAGUACGUCUAUCUUCCGGGGUAUGGCUUGGCUUGGGCACAAGCGCCCUUUGGAUAUGCGUUAAGUC